GAUGAACGCUGGCGGCGUGCCUAACACAUGCAAGUCGAGCGAUUCUCUUCGGAGAAGAGCGGCGGACGGGUGAGUAACGCGUGGGUAACCUGCCCUGUACACACGGAUAACAUACCGAAAGGUAUGCUAAUACGAGAUAAUAUACUUUUAUCGCAUGGUAGAAGUAUCAAAGCUCCGGCGGUACAGGAUGGACCCGCGUCUGAUUAGCUAGUUGGUAAGGUAACGGCUUACCAAGGCGACGAUCAGUGGUCGACCUGAGAGGGUGAUCGGCCAAAUGGGAACUGAGACACGGUCCAAACUCCUACGGGAGGCAGCAGUGGGGAAUAUUGCACAGUGGGCGAAAGCCUGAUGCAGCAACGCCGCGUGAGUGAUGAAGGCCUUCGGGUCGUAAAGCUCUGUCCUCAAGGAAGAUAAUGACGGUACUUGAGGAGGAAGCCCCGGCUAACUACGUGCCAGCCGCCGCCGUAA
rnacentral:rRNA from 1 species